rnacentral:rRNA from 1 species
CCUACGGGGUGCAGCAGUGGGGAAUAUUGGACAAUGGGGGAAACCCUGAUCCAGCGACGCCGCGUGAGUGAAGAAGUAUUUCGGUAUGUAAAGCUCUAUCAGCAGGGAAGAAAAAAAUGACAGUACCUGACUAAGAAGCCCCGGCUAACUACGUGCCAGCAGCCGCGGUAAUACGUAGGGGGCAAGCGUUAUCCGUAUUUACUGGGUGUAAAGGGAGCGUAGACGGUUACGCAAGUCUGGAGUGAAAGGCGGGGGCUCAACCCCCGGACUGCUUUGGACACUGUAUUACUGGAGUGCAGGAGAGGUAAGUGGAAUUCCUAGUGUAGCGGUGAAAUGCGUAGAUAUUAGGAGGAACACCAGUGGCGAAGGCGGCUUACUGGACUGUAACUGACGUUGAGGCUCGAAAGCGUGGGGAGCAAACAGGAUUAGAUACCCGUGUAGUC